GGAAGUAAAAGUCGUAACAAGGUUUCCGUAGGUGAACCUGCGGAAGGAUCAUUACUGAUUUAGCGAACCGAGCGUUAGCGAGGUUUUGCGAUCACUUAUAUUUAGAACCCACUCUUUGAACGUAUAAAAUUUUAUGUAUUAAUGAUAAAAAUAAAAGAUCACUUUCAACAACGGAUCUCUUGGCUCUCGCAGCGAUGAAGAACGUAGCGAAGUGCGAUAAGUAAUGUGAAUUGCAGUAUUCCGUGAAUCAUCGAAUCUUUGAACGCAUAUUGCACUUUCUGGUAUUCCGGAAAGUAUGCCUGUCUGAGGGUCAGUUAAAUAAAAAUCGGUGUUGUUGCUGCCUUUCGUGGUGACGCAUCGGAUUUGGGUCGUCUUACCUUCGGUUAAGUGACUUAAAAUUUUGUAUGAUUUUUGAACGUAUUUAAAUUUAUUUGUACGUUUGAGAUAUCGAAUGUUUAUUAGGUUCGGUCAUUCUAAUGACUCGCGCCUAUAGUUUUUCAUUAAAUGACCUCAAAUCAGGUAAGAAUACCCGCUGAACUUAAGCAUAUCAAUAAGCGGAGGA
rnacentral:rRNA from 1 species